rnacentral:rRNA from 1 species
AUUGAACGCUGGCGGCAGGCCUAACACAUGCAAGUCGAACGAGUGGCGGACGGGUGAGUAAUGUCUGGGAAACUGCCUGCUGGAGGGGUAUAACUACUGGAAACUGUAGCUAAUACCGCAUACCAGCGGAUGUGCCCAGCUGGGAUUAGAUUGUUGGUGGGGUAACGGCUCACCAAGGCGCAGAUCCCUAGCUGGUCUGAGAGGAUGACCAGCCACACUGGAAGUGAGACACGGCCCAUACUGCUACGGGAGGCAGCAGUGGGGAAUAUUGCACAAUUGGCGCAAGCCUGAUGCAGCCAUGCCGCGUGUAUGAAGAAGGCCUUAGGGUUGUAAAGUACUUUCAGCGGGGAUGCGUUACCCGCAGAAGAAGCACCGGCUAACUCCGUGCCAGCAGACGCGGUAAUUC